UGGGAUAUAGUGUAAGGGGUAACACACCAGACUUUGACUCUGAUAUUACAGGUUCGAAUCCUGUUAUCCCAG
rnacentral:tRNA from 1 species